rnacentral:rRNA from 1 species
CGGAGGAGCAUGUGGUUUAAUUCGAUGAUACGCGAGGAACCUUACCUGGGCUCGAACGUAAGAUGACUGUAGGUGAAAGCUUACAUCUCGUUCGGAGCAGUUUUACGAGGUGCUGCAUGGUUGUCGUCAGCUCGUGCCGUGAGGUGUCGGGUUAAGUCCCAUAACGAGCGCAACCCCUACCUUUAGUUGCCAUCAGGUUAAGCUGGGGACUCUAAAGGAACUGCCUACGCAAGUAGUGAGGAAGGCGGGGAUGACGUCAAAUCAGCACGGCCCUUACGUCCAGGGCUACACACGUGCUACAAUGGCCGGUACAAAGGGCAGCUACCUGGUGACAGGAUGCUAAUCUCAAAAGCCGGUCUCAGUUCGGAUCGGAGUCUGCAACCCGACUCCGUGAAGUUGGAUUCGCUAGUAAUCGCGCAUCAGCCAUGGCGCGGUGAAUACGUUCCCGGGCCUU